rnacentral:rRNA from 1 species
AGGACGAACGCUGGCGGCGUGCUUAACACAUGCAAGUCGAACGAGAAUCUGUGGAAAGAGGAUUCGUCCAAUUGAAGCAGAGGACAGUGGCGGACGGGUGAGUAACGCGUGAGGAACCUGCCUUUCAGAGGGGGACAACAGUUGGAAACGACUGCUAAUACCGCAUAACAUAUAGAUGUCGCAUGGCAUUUAUAUCAAAGAUUUAUCGCUGAAAGAUGGCCUCGCGUCUGAUUAGCUAGUUGGUGAGGUAACGGCCCACCAAGGCGACGAUCAGUAGCCGGACUGAGAGGUUGAACGGCCACAUUGGGACUGAGAUACGGCCCAGACUCCUACGGGAGGCAGCAGUGGGGAAUAUUGGGCAAUGGGCGCAAGCCUGACCCAGCAACGCCGCGUGAAGGAAGAAGGCUUUCGGGUUGUAAACUUCUUUUGUCAGGGACGAGUAGAAGACGGUACCUGACGAAUAAGCCACGGCUAACUACGUG